rnacentral:rRNA from 1 species
UACGUAGGGGGCUAGCGUUGUCCGGAAUCAUUGGGCGUAAAGCGCGUGUAGGCGGUUCGGUAAGUCCGCUGUGAAAGUCGGGGGCUCAACCCUCGGAUGCCGGUGGAUACUGUCGGACUAGAGUACGGAAGAGGCGAGUGGAAUUCCUGGUGUAGCGGUGAAAUGCGCAGAUAUCAGGAGGAACACCGAUUACGAAGGCAGCUCGCUGGGACGUUACUGACGCUGAGACGCGAAAGCGUGGGGAGCAAACAGG